CAUGGAAGAAUGUUGGGUUUUGGUUGUAAUCGAUCGAGGGGUGGACUGCUAGGCUACUUCCUUCCAGACAGUUUGGAUACAUCGUGCUCACGACAUCAGCCGGCAUCAUGGACCAUGAAGAAGCAA